rnacentral:rRNA from 1 species
GGGGGCAUAUACUGGCAGUCGAGCGAGCUUUGCCUAGAUGAUUUUAGUGCUUGCACUAAAUUGAAACUAGAUACAAGCGAGCGGCGGACGGGUGAGUAACACGUGGGUAACCUGCCCAAGAGACUGGGAUAACACCUGGAAACAGAUGCUAAUACCGGAUAACAACACUAGACGCAUGUCUAGAGUUUGAAAGAUGGUUCUGCUAUCACUCUUGGAUGGACCUGCGGUGCAUUAGCUAGUUGGUAAGGUAACGGCUUACCAAGGCAAUGAUGCAUAGCCGAGUUGAGAGACUGAUCGGCCACAUUGGGACUGAGACACGGCCCAAACUCCUACGGGAGGCAGCAGUAGGGAAUCUUCCACAAUGGACGAAAGUCUGAUGGAGCAACGCCGCGUGAGUGAAGAGGGGUUUCGGCUCGUAAAGCUCUGUUGGUAGUGAAGAAAGAUAGAGGUAGUAACUGGCCUUUAUUUGACGGUAAUUACUUAGAAAGUCACGGCUAACUACGUGCCAGCAGCCGCGGUAAUACGUAGGUGGCAAGCGUUGUCCGGAUUUAUUGGGCGUAAAGCGAGUGCAGGCGGUUCAAUAAGUCUGAUGUGAAAGCCUUCGGCUCAACCGGAGAAUUGCAUCAGAAACUGUUGAACUUGAGUGCAGAAGAGGAGAGUGGAACUCCAUGUGUAGCGGUGGAAUGCGUAGAUAUAUGGAAGAACACCAGUGGCGAAGGCGGCUCUCUGGUCUGCAACUGACGCUGAAGCUCGAAAGCAUGGGUAGCGAACAGGAUUAGAUACCCUGGUAGUCCAUGCCG